rnacentral:snoRNA from 19 species
CGAGGUCUUCGUGUACCCCGUGCGCCCCCACUCGUGGCGCACACAUGGGGAAUGGUCAAGACCGAG